GAAUAGCCGCCGGAUGAACGGGUGUCAUUGAUGUUGACAAUUAUGGGAUAAUCUCGCUAUUCU
rnacentral:tRNA from 2 species